rnacentral:lncRNA from 1 species
AUGGCAUGUGCAAAGCUGUGUAGUGACGAGGUCUUUAUGACAUGCUUCUGCUGUCUGCAAGCCCGAUCCUCUUACGUGGGCUCCGUAGGACAGCAAAACCGUGCGUUCCCAAGGAGCCCAUGGCCCUGCGGAGUGGACUGUUGGUUUAAUCCUCCACAUACAGGAGUUUUCUGUGCGCUGAAUGGCAAACCCAUGGUGAAUGGGCGGCAGAGCAAUCUAAACAAGAAUGGAUGCUCGUCUGUAUCUACUAAAGCCAAUGCUCUGGGUCAGCGCCCUGCUGACCCAAUCUCAAUUCCAUCUCUGCCCUGUGGGGUUGGGCAGCUGCAUGGCUCAGUGGAUGGAUGCAGAGCUGAGUGCAAACCCAGCUUCAGACACUUAUUAGCUGGGGGAACCUGGGCAAGUCACUCAACCUUUAUUUGCCACUGGAGAAGCAACUGGCAAAGCGCUCCCGGAUCUUUGCACGGUCCAGUCCACCGGGUCAUGAAUCGCUGGGCACGACUGAAUAGUAGCAAGCACUGGAUUUUGCCUGGAUUUCUGAUUAGCGAUGGAGGACAAAAAAGGGAAUUAUGUCUGAAACCAUGA